UACGAAGGGGGCUAGCGUUGCUCGGAAUUACUGGGCGUAAAGGGCGCGUAGGCGGAUAUUUAAGUCGGGGGUGAAAGCCCAGGGCUCAACCCUGGAAUUGCCUUCGAUACUGGAUAUCUUGAGUUCGGGAGAGGUGAGUGGAAUGCCGAGUGUAGAGGUGAAAUUCGUAGAUAUUCGGCGGAACACCAGUGGCGAAGACGACUCACUGGCCCGAUACUGACGCUGAGGCGCGAAAGCGUGGGGAGCAAACAGG
rnacentral:rRNA from 1 species